GACGAACGCUGGCGGCGUGCUUAACACAUGCAAGUCGAACGGAAAGGCCCUGCUUUUGUGGGGUGCUCGAGUGGCGAACGGGUGAGUAAAACGUGAGUAACCUGCCCUUGUCUUUGGGAUAUCUUCUGGAAACUGGGGCUAAUAUACGAUAGGAGCUCCUGCUGCAUGGGGGGGGUUGGAAAAUUCCGGCGGUUGGGGAUGGACUCGCGGCUUAUCCGCUUGUUGGUGGGGUAGUGGCUGUCCAAGGCUUUGACGGGUAGCCUGCCUGAGAGGGUGGACGGCGACAUGGGGACUGAGAUAGGGCCCAGAAUCCUACGGGAGGCAGUAGGGGAGAAUAUUGCAGAAUGGGCGGAAGCCUGAGGCAGCAACGCCGCGUGCGGGAUGACGGCCUUCGGGUUAUAAACCGAUUUCGCCGGUAACGAAGCGUGAGUGACGGUAAUGGGUAAAGAAGCACCGGCUAACUACGUG
rnacentral:rRNA from 1 species